UACGGGGGGGGCAAGCGUUGUUCGGAAUUACUGGGCGUAAAGGGUUUGUAGGUGGCUUGCUAAGUCAGACGUGAAAUCCCUCAGCUUAACUGGGGAACUGCGUCUGAGACUGGCAGGCUUGAGUGCAGGAGAGGAACGCGGAAUUCCUGGUGUAGCGGUGAAAUGCGCAGAUAUCGGGAGGAACACCUGUGGCGAAGGCGGCUUUCUGGGCCUUACCUGACGCUGAGACGCGAAAGCGUGGGGAGCGAACCGG
rnacentral:rRNA from 1 species